rnacentral:rRNA from 1 species
AAUCAACGCUGGCGGCGUGCCUAACACAUGCAAGUCGCACGAGAAAGUGGAGCAAUCCAUGAGUAAAGUGGCGUACGGGUGAGUAACACGUGAAUCAUCUACCUCCGAGUGGGGAAUAACCUAGAGAAAUCUGGGCUAAUACCGCAUAACACUUACGAGUCAAAGCAGCAAUGCGCUUGGAGAGGAGCUCGCGGCAGAUUAGUUAGUUGGCAGGGUAAUGGCCUACCAAGACGAUGAUCUGUAUCCGGCCUGAGAGGGCGCACGGACACACUGGAACUGAAACACGGUCCAGACUCCUACGGGAGGCAGCAGUGGGGAAUUUUGCGCAAUGGGGGAAACCCUGACGCAGCAACGCCGCGUGGAGGAUGAAAUCCCUUGGGAUGUAAACUCCUUUCGAUGGGGAAGAUAAUGACGGUACCCAUAGAAGAAGCCCCGGCUAACUUCGUGCCAGCAGCCGCAGUAAC